CUUUGACGGUGCACAUGAAUAGGAUACAGAGGUGCAGGCAGAGGCCAGGCCAGCCCGAGUCAAAGCUUAGGAACAGAGGAUGAAGACUGUUGCAGCAAAUAAGGAAGUACAAGCAUGAAAGCAAAAUCGGAGGAACAUUUCCUGGACAGCAUUCCCAUCUCCAGUAAGAGUCCUUCUCACUUCAUAAAAGCGAUACGUAGAAGCAAGACUCUGCCUUUGCGGUGACGUCACUGAAUAUGCAGCCGGGGCCCAGAGUUGAACAAAUGCCACUCUGGCAAGCGGGGCAGGGUCUGGCUUAGCAACUUGACUUUGACCUACCACCUCUGGAUAAUUUUGCUUCUACAUAACUAUGGAGAUGAUGUACUCAUUCUAUUUAUAAAAAUAAUGCCC
rnacentral:lncRNA from 1 species